GUCUGUUGAGUGAUCAUGAAAUCAGCGAAAAUGCUGACUUGAAACGGUGUAAGAGUACCACUAAACGCAGAGGUCAGAAAGCAACAUCAUCGAUUAAGAAGAAAAUCCCCACACGUGGAGACUUUAAACUAUAGCGAGGACGUCCAUGGCUAUAUGAAUCCCAUGAUUUGGUGAACAUGUAUGGUGAUGAGAUUCUUACGUGCUUGGAGGUGGCAUUUAGGCUAACAUCGGAAAUGGUUUUCAUGGGGAGUGAGUUGGCUAUUGUUGUCUAUAUCUUUGGAGCUGAUUAUGACCCCAAGUAGGUCACUUCUAAUGAUUUUGAAGAUUUGGAAUCAAACGCUUAUUUCAUGAGAUAUAACCUAUGAUUUUGUUAUUAAUAGAGAGAUUCUUGUGCCUAAUGAAUAUUGUUGUGGAAGCCGGGAAGCAUUGAUGACCCUUUAUCCGAAAAAUCAGGUUGGAGAUAACGUAAGUCAUGAAGUAAUUCAUGUGAUAUACCUUUUUAACUCUGUUGAAUUUGAUUGAUG